rnacentral:rRNA from 1 species
GUGUCAGCAGCCGCGGUAACACGUAGGGGGCAAGCGUUGUCCGGAUUUAUUGGGCGUAAAGAGCUCGUAGGUGGCUGAGUAAGUCGGAUGUUAAAUCCCCAGGCUCAACCUGGGACACCACCCGAUACUGCUCUGGCUAGAGUCCGGUAGGGGAGCGUGGAAUUCCUGGUGUAGCGGUGAAAUGCGCAGAUAUCAGGAGGAACACCAGCGGCGAAGGCGGCGCUCUGGGCCGGUACUGACACUGAGGAGCGAAAGCGUGGGUAGCAAACAGGAUUAGAUACCCUGGUAGUCCACGCCGUAAACGUUGGGCACUAGGUGUGGGGUCUAUUCAACGGACUCCGUGCCGUAGCUAACGCAUUAAGUGCCCCGCCUGGGGAGUACGGCCGCAAGGCUAAAACUCAAAGAAAUUGGCGG